rnacentral:rRNA from 1 species
UACGUAGGGGGCUAGCGUUGUCCGGAUUUAUUGGGCGUAAAGAGCGUGUAGGCGGCCAUGUAGGUCCGGUGUGAAAACUCGAGGCUUAACCUCGAGAUGUCAUCGGAAACCAUUUGGCUAGAGUCCGGAAGAGGAGAGUGGAAUUCCUGGUGUAGCGGUGAAAUGCGCAGAUAUCAGGAAGAACACCAAUGGCGAAAGCAGCUCUCUGGGACGGUACUGACGCUGAGACGCGAAAGCCAGGGGGAGCAAAACGGGG